ACAAAACAAAGCUAAGCGUCUUUUGCCGCGAAGAAGUGCACUAUAUAAAAAUAAGAAUAACUAAAAGCACAAGGGAGAGAAAAACGAGACUCCAGUUAGCUGUUAUUGCCUUACUUAAGACCAUGUAUUCAGGUUGUCCAAAGUGUGUUGUGGUUUCCUUAGUAUUAUGAAAUCGUAAGCCGGACACCAAUAAUUAACUCAAAUUUCUAGGGUAAAAUCGCCAUCAUCUAUCUUUGUAUUCAUUCUUAUUUUUUUAAUGUUUGGGUAAGAACUUUAUAAAAAAGAUCGUAGCCUUUCAAGCAAUACGAGGCAAUAUUUAUUUGAAGUACAUAUUUUGUUUUUUUUAAAGCGUAACUAUAUAACAGCUUCUACCGCUUGCUUUUAAGUUAUCUUUAAUUA